UUCCGCGUGAGUGAAGAAGGCCUUCGGGUUGUAAAGCUCUUUCGGCAGGAACGAAACGGUGAGCUCUAACAUAGCUUGCUAAUGACGGUACCUGAAGAAGAAGCACCGGCUAACUACGUGCCAGCAGCCGCGGUAAUACGUAGGGUGCGAGCGUUAAUCGGAAUUACUGGGCGUAAAGCGUGCGCAGGCGGUUGUGUAAGACAGGUGUGAAAUCCCCGGGCUUAACCUGGGAACUGCGCUUGUGACUGCACAGCUAGAGUAUGGCAGAGGGGGGUGGAAUUCCACGUGUAGCAGUGAAAUGCGUAGAGAUGUGGAGGAACACCGAUGGCGAAGGCAGCCCCCUGGGCCAAUACUGACGCUCAUGCACGAAAGCGUGGGGAGCAAACAGGAUUAGAUACCCUGGUAGUCCACGCCCUAAACGAUGUCGACUAGGUGUUCGGUGAGGAGACUCAUUGAGUACCGCAGCUAACGCGUGAAGUCGACCGCCUGGGGAGUACGGUCGCAAGAUUAAAACUCAAAGG
rnacentral:rRNA from 1 species